GAUGAACGCUAGCGGCAGGCUUAAUACAUGCAAGUCGAGGGGCAGCAGGACUGUAGCAAUACAGUUGCUGGCGACCGGCAAACGGGUGCGGAACACGUACGCAACCUACCCAAAACUGGGGAAUAGCCCGGGGAAACCCGGAUUAAUACCUCGUAACAUAAUGAAGUGGCAUCACUUUAUUAUCAUAGCUCCGGCGGUUUUGGAUGGGCGUGCCCCUGAUUAGGUCGUUGGGGGGGUAACGGCCCACCAAGCCUACGAUCAGUAACUGGUGUGAGAGCACGACCAGUCACACGGGCACUGAGACACGGGCCCGACUCCUACGGGAGGCAGCAGUAAGGAAUAUUGGUCAAUGGACGCAAGUCUGAACCAGCCAUGCCGCGCGAAGGAUGAAGGUCCUCUGGAUUGUAAACUUCUUUUAUAUGGGACGAAACCUCCGGAUUCUUCUGCAAUUGACGGUACCAUAGGAAUAAGCACCGGCUAACUCCGUGCCAGCAGCCGCCGUAAUAC
rnacentral:rRNA from 1 species